CACGUAGGGCGCAAGCGUUGUCCGGAAUUAUUGGGCGUAAAGAGCUCGUAGGCGGUCUGUUGCGUCUGCCGUGAAAACCCGAGGCUUAACCUCGGGCCUGCGGUGGAUACGGGCAGACUAGAAGUAGGUAGGGGAGAACGGAAUUCCCGGUGUAGCGGUGAAAUGCGCAGAUAUCGGGAGGAACACCGGUGGCGAAGGCGGUUCUCUGGGCCUUACCUGACGCUGAGGAGCGAAAGCGUGGGGAGCGAACAGG
rnacentral:rRNA from 1 species